rnacentral:rRNA from 1 species
GUGCUAGCAACCGCGGUAAUGCGGAGGGUGCAAGCGUUAUCCGGAUUUAUUGGGUUUAAAGGGUCCGUAGGCGGAUGCGUAAGUCAGUGGUGAAAUCUCACAGCUCAACUGUGAAACUGCCAUUGAUACUGCGUGUCUUGAGUGAGGUUGAAGUAGCUGGAAUAAGUAGUGUAGCGGUGAAAUGCAUAGAUAUUACUUAGAACACCAAUUGCGAAGGCAGGUUACUAAGUCUCAACUGACGCUGAUGGACGAAAGCGUGGGGAGCGAACAGGAUUAGAUACCCUGGUAGUCCACGCUGUAAACGAUGCUAACUCGUUUUUGGGGAUUUAUCUUCAGAGACUAAGCGAAAGUGAUAAGUUAGCCACCUGGGGAGUACGAACGCAAGUUUGAAACUCAAAGGAAUUGACGGGGGCCCGCUCAAGCGGUGGAUUAUGUGGUUUAAUUCGAUGAUACGCGAGGAACCUUACCAAGGCUUAAAUGGGAAUUGAUCGGUUUAGAA